UAGCGAAAUUCCUUGUCGGGUAAGUUCCGACCUGCACGAAUGGCGUAACGAUCUCCACACUGUCUCGGCCAGAGACUCGGUGAAAUUGAAGUCGCGGUGAAAAUGCCGUGUACCCGCAGAAAGACGGAAAGACCCUGUGCACCUUUACUAUAGCUUGACAUUGGGAUUUGAGCCUGCAUGUGUAGCAUAGGUGGGAGCCUGUGAACCCUGUACGCCAGUAUGGGGGGAGGCAACGUUGAAAUACCACCCUUGUUUGUUCAGGUCCCUAACUCUUCGCCGUUACCCGGUAAGAGGACAGUGUCUGGUGGGUAGUUUGACUGGGGCGGUCGCCUCCCAAAAUGUAACGGAGGCAUGCAAAGGUUCCCUCAGGCUGAUUGGAAACCAGCCGUCGAGUGCAAACGCAGAAGGGAGCUUGACUGCAAGAGAGACAUCUCGAGCAGGUACGAAAGUAGGUGUUAGUGAUCCGGUGAUCCCGAAUGGAAGGGUCAUCGCUCAUUGGAUAAAAGGUACGCCGGGGAUAACAGGCUGAUCGCAUCCAAGAGUUCACAUCGACGAUGCGGUUUGGCACCUCGAUGUCGGCUCAUCACAUCCUGGGGCUGAAGCAGGUCCCAAGGGUACGGCUGUUCGCCGUUUAAAGUGGUACGCGAGCUGGGUUUAAAACGUCGUGAGACAGUUUGGUCCCUAUCUUCUGUGGGCGUAGGAGAAUUGAAAGGGCCUGUCCCUAGUACGAGAGGACCGGGGCGGACGGGCCUCUGGUGGAGCGGUUGUCGACCAACGGCACCGCCGCCUAGCUACGCCCGGAACGGAUAACCGCUGAAAGCAUCUAAGCGGGAAGCCUGCCUUAAGAUAAGUUCUCCCUGACGCAAGUCCUGAAGGGCCGAGGUAGACGACCUCGUCGAUAGGCUGGAGGUGGAAGCCCUGUGAGGGGUGGAGCUGACCAGUACUAAUAGCCCGUGCGUCUUGUUUCU
rnacentral:rRNA from 1 species